rnacentral:piRNA from 1 species
UCAGCCCUGGUUCUUUUGAGC